AAGUCGUAACAAGGUUUCCGUAGGUGAACCUGCGGAAGGAUCAUUAACACGUAUCCACGUUAACCACCCGUGCACCUUCAUCUUAUACCGUCGUUCCACGGAACUUCGAGCCACCCGAUUGUUCAUUGGGGUUCCUCUUGUGCAGUCUUGUUGGGAGACCGUGGGGGCUUUGCCACCAUAAUGCGUCUUCGGGAAGACGGCUUGAGGGCGUCGUGUGCUCAACGAAGUGGCUCGGAGUUUUUUCCCACUGCUGCAAAACUUGACUAAACCCAACCAGCGCAAGCCUAACAAGCUGAGCGCCGGAAACCCCGCACAACUGUUAACAAUGGAUAUCUUGGCUCUC
rnacentral:misc_RNA from 1 species